ACUGGCUACAAUGGCUUCCAUUCUACUCUAUGUCUGUUCUAAGCCGGAGUUAACAGCCCCGGAACUUGCUUUGUAGAUCAGGCUCUACUCUAAUUUAUUUGCAUCUUUUCUCCUUAGUUAGUCUACCUUAAAAGACUGUUAAUUUUAUUUAGCUUUUCAAGAACCCAGUUCUUUAAUGAUCUCCUGUGGCUUUUUCUCCUUUAGUCUCUGUUACACGUGUGGUGUGAAAUGACCCACGGUUCCCCAUGGAGGCCCUGUUGUCUCCUACCUCGCAUUUUCUGUCCUCCGGCUGAUGCACUGGUGCAGGUAGAGAUAUUCCUGAGGCGCACUGGUGGACAAGGCUGGCUGGAUGUGGCUUGACACGGGGGGCUCAAACGUGAACAGAGUGGGUUGGCUGGAGUGGGAAGGGGCGGAGGACUUCCUUUCUCGGAGCAGGUGGUGGCUGGAGCUGCUGAACUCAGCUGGAGAAGAGCGGGGACCGUGGCCGGCUGAAGAAAGGUUUCUCAGGGAGUCUGUGGAAAGAAGAGCGAGCUCUGUUUGCAGAAUGAACUCUCUAAUGGUGAAUGAGAGACAGUUUAUACCAGGGACAGUAGUCAUGGCACCGGAGGAGGAACACAGCUGUUCUGCCUGAGAAGACACAGGGGAGGGAUAAGAAGCCCUCUGAUAAGAGGAUUUCCAGGAACAUGCCGGGCUCCUUCCUCAGACUGAAACUCGGUGAAGCCAGAGAUUCCAACCCUUUCCUAACAGCUGUGGCCUUGGGUCAUGCCUCCUGAAUCGCGUGACUUAAUAUUUGUUGGCCAAACAAAUGAGACACAAAGGAUAAAUAAAGCGCUACGUCUUCAGUAACAGUUACCGAUUUCUCAUUGC